rnacentral:lncRNA from 1 species
UCAAAUCAAAAGUUAAUAAAUGCACAAGUAGCACGUAAUAUGCAUCAGGAUGGUCUUUUCAUUUCAGGUCACCUAUCCUAGACGGACCCAACCUUGUGUUGAGUCCCCUAGGUCAAAUGCACGUGAUGCAAAUAAUCGUUCCUACUAGUGAUCCGGCAUGAGGCUUUGUUAUACUAGGUUUAAGCAUUGUGUUUAUUUUUCUAGACCUGUCUUACCUGAGUUGACAGCUCGAGCCGAGAAGGGGCAGUGUAAAAGGGAUACAGAAGCUCCGCUAGCUUAGCAACUUAUCUGAACCUCGUUCUGAAUGUGAUAUGACUCUAAACAGAAGAGAAGUCACACGAAGUGCACCCUUCUCCAUGAUUUAAAAGACUCAGAGAGAGGAAAAAUUUCGUAGCAGUUUUAUAUAUACAAUUUAACAAAUAUCAAAGCGGUAAAGCAUUUAGCAUAUAUAGCAUGGAACAUGUAGGAAAAGCAAAUAAAGCCAAAUAUAACAGCUAUUCUUAGCUCGAAUUCUUAAAUCC